UGGGGAAUCUUGCGCAAUGGGCGAAAGCCUGACGCAGCCAUGCCGCGUGAAUGAUGAAGGUCUUAGGAUUGUAAAAUUCUUUCACCGGGGACGAUAAUGACGGUACCCGGAGAAGAAGCCCCGGCUAACUUCGUGCCAGCAGCCGCGGUAAUACGAAGGGGGCUAGCGUUGCUCGGAAUUACUGGGCGUAAAGGGCGCGUAGGCGGAUCGUUAAGUCAGAGGUGAAAUCCCGGAGCUCAACUUCGGAACUGCCUUUGAUACUGGCGAUCUUGAGUGUGAGAGAGGUAUGUGGAACUCCGAGUGUAGAGGUGAAAUUCGUAGAUAUUCGGAAGAACACCAGUGGCGAAGGCGACAUACUGGCUCAUUACUGACGCUGAGGCGCGAAAGCGUGGGGAGCAAACAG
rnacentral:rRNA from 1 species